UGCUCCAUGAAUAAUUGUUUCAAUAGCCGCAGUAUACUGACUGUGCAAAGGUAGCAUAAUAACUUGUUUUUUUAAUUAAAUUGCUGAAUGAAUGGGGUAAGGAUAUGUUGAAGUUUUCUUUAUUAAUUAAGAACUUAAUAAAAAGAGUAAAAAUUUCUCUUUUUUUUCUGUUUAAUACGAAAAGACCCUACUAGAACUUGAAAUAAUUGUUUGUUUUUGUUUGGGGGUAAUCGUAUUUGUUGUAAAUACAUGUAUAUAAAAAGUUUC
rnacentral:rRNA from 1 species